rnacentral:rRNA from 1 species
UUAGGUUAAGUUAUGAAGGGCGCAUGGUGAAUGCCUUGGUACUAGGAGCCGAUGAAGGACGGGACUAACACCGAUAUGCUUCGGGGAGCGGUAAGUACGCUUUGAUCCGGAGAUUUCCGAAUGGGGCAACCCAAUCAGCUUAGUCGCUGAUUACUUGACUAGUGAAUACAUAGCUAGCAAGAGGUAGACGCAGUGAACUGAAACAUCUUAGUAGCUGCAGGAAGAGAAAGAAACAUCGAUUCCCUGAGUAGCGGCGAGCGAAAAGGGAAGAGCCCAAACCAACAAGCUUGCUUGUUGGGGUUGUAGGACUGAACAUUAGAGUUACCAAAGUGCGACGUAGUCGCAACAGUUGGGAAGCUGUGCCAUAGAGGGUGAAAGCCCCGUAGACGAAACGUCACACUCUCUGUUCAGGAUCCUGAGUACGGCGGGACACGUGAAACCCCGUCGGAACCCGCGAGGACCAUCUCGCAA